GAUGAAGAACGUAGCGAAAUGCGAUAAGUAAUGUGAAUUGCAGAAUUCAGUGAAUCAUCGAAUCUUUGAACGCACAUUGCGCCCGCCAGUAUUCUGGCGGGCAUGCCUGUUCGAGCGUCAUUACAACCCUCAGGCCCCCGGGCCUGGCGUUGGGGAUCGGCGGAGCCCCCCGUGGGCACACGCCGUCCCCCAAAUGCAGUGGCGGUCCCGCCGCAGCUUCCAUCGCGUAGUAGCUAACACCUCGCGACUGGAGAGCGGCGCGGCCACGCCGUAAAACACCCAACUCUUCUGAAGUUGACCUCGAAUCGGGUAGGAAUACCCGCUGAACUUAAGCAUAUCAAUAAGCGGAGGA
rnacentral:misc_RNA from 1 species